rnacentral:rRNA from 2 species
CAUGCAAGUCGAACGGUGAAGCAGGAGCUUGCUCUUGUGGAUCAGUGGCGAACGGGUGAGUAACACGUGAGCAACCUGCCCCGGACUCUGGGAUAAGCGCUGGAAACGGCGUCUAAUACUGGAUACGAAACAGAACCGCAUGGUUAUUGUUUGGAAAGAUUUUUCGGUCUGGGAUGGGCUCGCGGCCUAUCAGCUUGUUGGUGAGGUAAUGGCUCACCAAGGCGUCGACGGGUAGCCGGCCUGAGAGGGUGACCGGCCACACUGGGACUGAGACACGGCCCAGACUCCUACGGGAGGCAGCAGUGGGGAAUAUUGCACAAUGGGCGGAAGCCUGAUGCAGCAACGCCGCGUGAGGGAUGACGGCCUUCGGGUUGUAAACCUCUUUUAGCAGGGAAGAAGCGAGAGUGACGGUACCUGCAGAAAAAGCGCCGGCUAACUACGUGCCAGCAGCCGCGGUAAUACGUAGGGCGCAAGCGUUAUCCGGAAUUAUUGGGCGUAAAGAGCUCGUAGGCGGUCUGUCGCGUCUGCUGUGAAAACUGGAGGCUCAACCUCCAGCCUGCAGUGGGUACGGGCAGACUAGAGUGCGGUAGGGGAGAUUGGAAUUCCUGGUGUAGCGGUGGAAUGCGCAGAUAUCAGGAGGAACACCGAUGGCGAAGGCAGAUCUCUGGGCCGUAACUGACGCUGAGGAGCGAAAGGGUGGG